GAUGAACGCUAGCUACAGGCUUAACACAUGCAAGUCGAGGGGCAGCAUUUUAGUUUGCUUGCAAACUAAAGAUGGCGACCGGCGCACGGGUGAGUAACACGUAUCCAACCUGCCGAUAACUCGGGGAUAGCCUUUCGAAAGAAAGAUUAAUAUCCGAUGGUAUAUUAAAACCGCAUGGUUUUACUAUUAAAGAAUUUCGGUUAUCGAUGGGGAUGCGUUCCAUUAGUUUGUUGGCGGGGUAACGGCCCACCAAGACUACGAUGGAUAGGGGUUCUGAGAGGAAGGUCCCCCACAUUGGAACUGAGACACGGUCCAAACUCCUACGGGAGGCAGCAGUGAGGAAUAUUGGUCAAUGGACGAGAGUCUGAACCAGCCAAGUAGCGUGAAGGAUGACUGCCCUAUGGGUUGUAAACUUCUUUUAUAUGGGAAUAAAGUAUUCCACGUGUGGGAUUUUGUAUGUACCAUAUGAAUAAGGAUCGGCUAACUCCGUGCCAGCAGCCGCGGUAAUACGGAGGAUCCGAGCGUUAUCCGGAUUUAUUGGGUUUAAAGGGAGCGUAGGUGGAUUGUUAAGUCAGUUGUGAAAGUUUGCGGCUCAACCGUAAAAUUGCAGUUGAAACUGGCAGUCUUGAGUACAGUAGAGGUGGGCGGAAUUCGUGGUGUAGCGGUGAAAUGCUUAGAAAUCACGAAGAACUCCGAUUGCGAAGGCAGCUCACUAGACUGCAACUGACACUGAUGCUCGAAAGUGUGGGUAUCAAACAGGAUUAGAUACCCUGGUAGUCCACACAGUAAACGAUGAAUACUCGCUGUUUGCGAUAUACAGUAAGCGGCCAAGCGAAAGCAUUAAGUAUUCCACCUGGGGAGUACGCCGGCAACGGUGAAACUCAAAGGAAUUGACGGGGGCCCGCACAAGCGGAGGAACAUGUGGUUUAAUUCGAUGAUACGCGAGGAACCUUACCCGGGCUUAAAUUGCAUUUGAAUAAUCUGGAAACAGGUUAGCCGCAAGGCAAAUGUGAAGGUGCUGCAUGGUUGUCGUCAGCUCGUGCCGUGAGGUGUCGGCUUAAGUGCCAUAACGAGCGCAACCCUUAUCUUUAGUUACUAACAGGUCAUGCUGAGGACUCUAGAGAGACUGCCGUCGUAAGAUGUGAGGAAGGUGGGGAUGACGUCAAAUCAGCACGGCCCUUACGUCCGGGGCUACACACGUGUUACAAUGGGGGGUACAGAAGGCAGCUACCUGGUGACAGGAUGCUAAUCCCAAAAACCUCUCUCAGUUCGGAUCGAAGUCUGCAACCCGACUUCGUGAAGCUGGAUUCGCUAGUAAUCGCGCAUCAGCCAUGGCGCGGUGAAUACGUUCCCGGGCCU
rnacentral:rRNA from 1 species